rnacentral:rRNA from 1 species
AGUGAACGCUGGCGGCAGGCCUAAUACAUGCAAGUCGAACGGCAGCACAGUGGAGCUUGCUCCAUGGGUGGCGAGUGGCGGACGGGUGAGGAAUACAUGGGAAUCUGCCCAGUCGUGGGGGAUAACGUAGGGAAACUUACGCUAAUACCGCAUGCGCCCUUCGGGGGAAAGCCGGGGACCUUCGGGCCUGGCGCGAUUGGAUGAGCCCAUGUUCGAUUAGCUAGUUGGCGGGGUAAAGGCCCACCAAGGCGACGAUCGAUAGCUGGUCUGAGAGGAUGAUCAGCCACACUGGGACUGAGACACGGCCCAGACUCCUACGGGAGGUAGCAGUAGGGAAUAUUGGACAAUGGGCGCAAGCCUGAUCCAGCCAUGCCGCGUGAGUGAAGAAGGCCCUCGGGUUGUAAAGCGCUUUUGUCCGGGAAGAAAAGCAUCGGGCUAAUACCUCGGUGUUCUGACGGUACCGGAAGAAUAAGCACCGGCUAACUUCGU